rnacentral:lncRNA from 10 species
GGCAAAGUGUCCAUGUUUGCAUCUGUGACUACUCUGUGUUAGAGCUGGAAAAUGAAAACUUCCAACCAUCAGAGCAGCUCAUCUUUAAAAAGAAAAUAAUCAAACACUCAGACACUCUGGAUUUAUUUGCUGACCUCUGUUUGAAUACAGAAUUCACUACUCUUCAGAAAUACCAUUAUGCAGCAUGUACACUAAGCCCUGAGUAUAUCUGGGGCUUUCUUUACUCUCCAGAUAUGGGAAGUUCACUCAUCCUCCUCCCUUCGUUAAUGCUAAUUAAUGGACAAGAGACCCUUAAGAGAGGGAACAAAACAACACAAAAGAAGACACAGAAGCACCAUGGGCAAACCAUGGAACAAGAACUGGAAUGAAUAUCUAUUCCACUACCUGAACUAAAGACUGCAGACGGAGAAAGGGAAGACAGGGGUUUAACUGGCAAUUCAAAGUGAGGUGAUCAGCCUUCUGUUACAGAGUUAACUGUGUGUGAAAGUGCUAUCAAGGCCCUUCAGUACAAGAUUGAAGUGAAGUGAUGAUAUUUGACAUCCUUGACUUCAAAGGAAAGCUUUGAAAAUCUCACCAUUAGAUAAGAUGCUUGCAGUGGAUUUUUUUUUAAAUUUGUAAUUAGCCUUUAUCAGAUUGAGGAAGCUCCAUUCUAGUUCUAGUUUUCCAUGAGUUUUUAUUUUUAACUUUUAUCAGGAAUGGAUUUUAAAACUCAUCAAAUGCUUUUUAUGUAUCAAUGAGUUGAAACCUAUUUUUUUAUUUUAUUCUUAAUAUGACCAAUUACAUUGCCUUUCUAAUGUUAAGCUAACCUGAAUUUCUAGUAUAAACCAACUUGCUUAUGAUGAAGUCUUUUUACCAACUGCUGGGUUUACAUUUUUAAGAAUUUUGGGGUCUAUGUUCAUAAUGAGAUUGGACUGUAUGUUUCCCUUGUCAUACUCUCUUGAUUGGUUUUUGGUAUCAAGAAAAUCCAGUCUGAUACCAUGUAUUAGAGUUUAUCUUAUUUUGUCGUUCUCUGGAAAUAUGUAGGAUUGAUAUUAAUUUUUCAUUGUGCCUGUUAGUAAAGAUGUUUGAACCUAAACAUUAUUUUGGAGGAAGUUUUAUAUUGCUGUUUCAGUUUCUUUAUGUUUAUCUCAGUUUUUUAUUAUAUCUUUUGUCAAAUUUAUAAGUGGUCGUUUUCUAGAAAUUUUCUGGACAGUUUCUUCUGAAUUUCUCAAUUUAUUGGAAUAAAGUUAUUACAUACAGUUAUUAUCUUUGUAAUAUCUAUAGAAUCUCCUGUUUUAUUCCUGAUGUAAGUUAAUUUUCUCUUCUUAAUUAUUCUCUUGAAAAAA